UACGUAGGUGGCAAGCGUUGUCCGGAUUUACUGGGCGUAAAGGGCGUGCAGGCGGUCUGUUAAGUGCAGGGUGAAAGCUCCCGGCUCAACUGGGAGAGGUCCUUGCAUACUGGCGGACUUGAGGGGGGUAGAGGAAAGUGGAAUUCCCGGUGUAGUGGUGAAAUGCGUAGAUAUCGGGAGGAACACCUGUGGCGAAAGCGGCUCACUGGACCACAACUGACGCUGAUGCGCGAAAGCUAGGGGAGCAAACAGG
rnacentral:rRNA from 1 species